GGGGGCGCAGAAUAGUCUAGCGGCUAGGGUAGUUUGACUCCCAAACUCACAAAAGGUUCUGGGUUCGAUUCCCACGAUGUCCUCA